rnacentral:rRNA from 1 species
AUACGGAGGGUGCGAGCGUUAAUCGGAAUUACUGGGCGUAAAGCGCGCGUAGGCGGUCUAUUAAGUCAGAUGUGAAAUCCCAGGGCUCAACCUUGGAACUGCAUCUGAUACUGGUAGACUAGAGUUUUGGAGAGGGAAGUAGAAUUUCAGGUGUAGCGGUGAAAUGCAUAGAGAUCUGAAGGAAUACCAGUGGCGAAGGCGACUUCCUGGCCAAAAACUGACGCUGAGGUGCGAAAGCGUGGGUAGCAAACGGGAUUAGAAACCCUAGUAGUCCC